UAUGCUAAGAGACUGAGUAGCUACUAGUACCAGUACCAGCCACCAUCACUAAACCUUUGCAAAACCCUAAAACUGCGUUUCUCAUUUCUCAGAUUGGAUUCCGAUAAUCACAAAUGGCUUGGCGUUCAGCAUCUCUCUCUCGCUCCGUAAUCUCCACAGCCAGGGCUUCUCUCCGACCGGCGGCGCCGUCACCCCUCCCCCGCCUCCGUCCGCCGCCACUCGCCGCCCCUCGCGUCCAGUCCCGCCGCUUUUCCAUGCCUGCUUCCAGGAAUUUGGGGCAAUUGGGCUGCACACAAUCGCUCUUACCUCUGCACAGUACGAUGGCUAUCACCUGCAUGACGUCACACGUUGCUGUCAGUGCACGCGCUUGCUGCGAGCUGUCUCACGGGAAUGGAAAAGAUGGGUGAUGCGCAAGGACAUCGAUCAUCCAAUGGCGAGAGAAGAAUGCUGCAUAGUGAUCCUGAUUCCUGAGGUACGUGAGGAAGCUGUUGGAUUUUCGUAGUUGCCUUUGAGAAUAUGGGUGAUCAAUAAUUAUGAAUAGUGCUAUCUGCAAAGUAACGGUUGUAGGAAUCUUGAAUGGGACUCAUCUGUUAUGCUAUUUUUAAUUUGUGCUAUUUCUUAUUCAAGAGGGAAAAACUUCUUUCUUUCAAAAUCGGAACAUCAUUCAAGAUUAGUUAUUAUUGAUUCUUCUUGUA